GACGAACGCUGGCGGCGUGCUUAACACAUGCAAGUCGAACGAUGAUCCCCAGCUUGCUGGGGUGAAGAGUGGCGAACGGGUGAGUAACACGUGAGUAACCUGCCCUGAACUCUGGGAUAAGCACUGGAAACGGUGUCUAAUACUGGAUAUGACCCAUCACCGCAUGGUGUGUGGGUGGAAAGAUUUAUCGGUUCUGGAUGGACUCGCGGCCUAUCAGCUUGUUGGUGAGGUAAUGGCUCACCAAGGCGACGACGGGUAGCCGGCCUGAGAGGGUGACCGGCCACACUGGGACUGAGACACGGCCCAGACUCCUACGGGAGGCUG
rnacentral:rRNA from 1 species